GAGUUUGAUCAUGGCUCAGAUUGAACGCUGGCGGCAUGCCUUACACAUGCAAGUCGAACGGCAGCAUGAUCUAGCUUGCUAGAUUGAUGGCGAGUGGCGAACGGGUGAGUAAUACAUCGGAACGUGCCCUGUAGUGGGGGAUAACUAGUCGAAAGAUUAGCUAAUGCCGCAUACGACCUGAGGGUGAAAGUGGGGACCGCAAGGCCUCAUGCUAUAGGAGCGGCCGAUGUCUGAUUAGCUAGUUGGUGGGGUAAAGGCCCACCAAGGCGACGAUCAGUAGCUGGUCUGAGAGGACGAUCAGCCACACUGGGACUGAGACACGGCCCAGACUCCUACGGGAGGCAGCAGUGGGGAAUUUUGGACAAUGGGCGAAAGCCUGAUCCAGCAAUGCCGCGUGUGUGAG
rnacentral:rRNA from 1 species